UGGAUAAUCUCUGACUUGAUGUUCUAACUCAUCACACCUAUAAUAUCGAAUCUUGUUGUAGUCCCUCGACUUGAACCUGGACUGCCCAUCUUACGAUCCUCUGCUCCUUCAUCCUCUGCCAUCACCAUCUCCAGUCACCGCCAUAGUUGAGUUGCCACCUGAACUCGAAGCUCGAUUCUUUCGUCUAAGAAUCUCAUUUUGGAGAAGUACAAAAGUAACAUCAUCUAUCUUGAUGGUGCUCUUUUUCAUA
rnacentral:lncRNA from 1 species